GUGAUUACAAAUUCAUUGCGUUUUCCAAUCAGAGGCAGAUCGUUAAAAAGUUAUAAAGCAAACGUAUCCUUUUCCAAUGUUUUCUGGUGUUAGGUGAUAAAAAACCGUGGAAAAUAAACUCGCUUCAAAACGUUGAAUAUUUCUGCAGCGCAAAUAUGAAAAGUAAAUGAUAUUUUACAAAGGUUCGCUUGCUUUGAGAAAUGACGGAGAGACAAUCUUGAUGAAGGAUUAUAAAGACGUCAUUUAAGG